rnacentral:rRNA from 1 species
UACGUAGGGGGCAAGCGUUGUCCGGAUUUAUUGGCGUAAAGAGCGUGUAGGCGGCCUUACAGGUCAGCUGUGAAAACUCGAGGCUCAACCUCGAGACGUCGGUUGAAACCGUAAGGCUAGAGUCCGGAAGAGGAGAGUGGAAUUCCCGGUGUAGCGGUGAAAUGCGCAGAUAUCGGGAAGAACACCCGUGGCGAAGGCGGCUCUCUGGGACGGUACUGACGCUG